CCACGCCUGGCCUAGAAUCAAAUCUUUUUUGCUCUUUGACUUAUUCUUAGAGAAAAAUCAAUUAGGAUACUGAAAUUUUGGUGCAUUUUUGGUUUUCCUUUUUCUCUUGAAAAAAAAUUCAUUGAAAAGUCAUAUUUAUAUGAGCUCACAGUGCAAUAUACCAAUUUCACACUCAUAUUUUUCUUUCUUUCUUUUUCUUUUUUUUUCUUUUUUUUGAGACAGGGUCUCUCCCUGUUGCCUAGGCUGGAGUGCAGUGGCACAAUAACAACUCACCGCAGCCUCGACCUCCUGGACGCAAGUGAUCAUAGUUUUAUUUCUAUGCCUUCUGAAGGACUAGAUACAGAAGACAGUAAUAGCUUGAGCCUGAGAUGGGAAAAAACUUUCUUAAAAUCAAAGAAAAUUCAUGAUGGCCAGAAUUUACACACUGCUUCAAUUCUUUUCAUCUAUAUUUUCAAAAAGAUACUUGGUCAUACUUUGCAAAACUUGUCACAGAAAAGAAAUUAUAGUCUGGAUAAACAAAGAGUAAAUGUAAGUGAUAAAUACUUUUAGUUAAAUAUUCAUUUGACUACAGAGUGAAUCAAGACCAUUUUUUGGAAACCUUGAGAGACAGGAAUGGGCUUCUUACCAGAUAAGAAAUGCAAUAAGCCUUUCUUAUUUACAGGUCAUGUGCAAUCCCUUGAAGAUGGAUGAUUAUCUUUAGCCUUCGGGUAGGGACAAAGUAGAACUCUGGAGCAUUUUUCAUUUCUUAGGUUCAUUCAUGAAGGUCCAUUGUGGCUCCCUGUUAUAAACUGAAUUGUGUCUCCACCAAAUUCAUAUGUUGAAGCUCUAACCACCAAUGUGGAGAUAGGACUUUUUUUUGUUUGAGAUGGAGUCUUGCACCAUCGCCUGGGCUGGAGUGCAAUGGUGCCAUCUCAGCUCACUGCAACCUCUGCCUGCCUGGUUCACGCAAUUCUCCUGCCUCAGCCUCCCGAGUAUCUGGGACUGCAGGCGUGCACCACCACACCUGGCUAAUUUCUUGUAUUUUUAGUAGAGAUGGGGUUUCACUAUGUUGGCCAGACAGGUCUUGAACUCCUGACCCAGUGAUCCUCCCACCCUGGCCUCCCAAAGUGCUGGGAUUACAGGCGUGAGCCACUGCCACCGGCCAGAGAUAGGAGUUUUAAGGAGGCAUUUAAAAUUAAAUGAGGUCACCAAGGUGGGGCCCUAAUCCAAUAGGAUGGGUGUUCAUAUAAGAGGAGGAAGGGACACUAGAGAUUCCUCUCUUUCCGUGCUCACAUGGCGGAAAGGGCACGUGAGUACACAGUGAGAAGGCUGAGGGCAUCUUGAUUCUGAACUUCUAACCUCCAGAUCUGUGAAAAAAUAAAUUUCUAUAGCUUUAAGCCAUCCAGUUUGUGGUAUUUCCUUAUGGCAGUCCUAGAAGACUAAUACAUUCCCUGACGUGUUCUAACAACACAUGGUAUCGCCAUAUACAAACUGCCCUUAGGCCGCAACACUGUGAUUUGUAGGUAAAGUCAAUUUAACGAUUUUUUUUUUUUUGAGAUGGAGUCUCCCUCUGUUGCCCAGCCUGGAGUGCAGUGGUGUGAUCUCGGCUCACUGCAAGCUCUGCCUCCCGGGUUCACGCCAAUCUCCUGCCUCACCCUCCCGAGUAGCUGGGACUACAGGCGCCCGCCACCACGCCUGGC
rnacentral:lncRNA from 1 species